rnacentral:rRNA from 1 species
AUGCACGCUGGCGGCGUGCUUAACACCUGCAAGUCGAACGAAGCAUUUAGGACAGAUUACUUCGGUUUGAAGUUCUUUAUGACUGAGUGGCGGACGGGUGAGUAACGCGUGGGUAACCUGCCUUGUACUGGGGGAUAGCAGCUGGAAACGGCUGGUAAUACCGCAUAAGCGCACAAUGUUGCAUGACAUGGUGUGAAAAACUCCGGUGGUAUAAGAUGGACCCGCGUCUGAUUAGCUAGUUGGUGAGAUAACAGCCCACCAAGGCGACGAUCAGUAGCCGACCUGAGAGGGUGACCGGCCACAUUGGGACUGAGACACGGCCCAGACUCCUACGGGAGGCAGCAGUGGGGAAUAUUGCACAAUGGAGGAAACUCUGAUGCAGCGACGCCGCGUGAGUGAAGAAGUAAUUCGUUAUGUAAAGCUCUAUCAGCAGGGAAGAUAGUGACGGUACCUGACUAAGAAGCGCCGGCUAAAUACGUG